UACAGAGGUCUCAAGCGUUGUUCGGAUUCAUUGGGUUUAAAGGGUGCGUAGGCGGCCUUGUAAGUCAGGGGUGAAAGACGGUAGCUUAACUAUCGCAGUGCCUUUGAUACUGCAGGGCUUGAAUGUACUUGAGGUAGGCGGAAUGUGACAAGUAGCGGUGAAAUGCAUAGAUAUGUCACAGAACACCAAUUGCGAAGGCAGCUUACUAAAGUAUGAUUGACGCUGAGGCACGAAAGCGUGGGGAUCAAACAGG
rnacentral:rRNA from 1 species